rnacentral:rRNA from 1 species
AUUGAACGCUGGCGGCAUGCCUUACACAUGCAAGUCGAACGGCAGCAUAGGAGCUUGCUCCUGAUGGCGAGUGGCGAACGGGUGAGUAAUAUAUCGGAACGUGCCCUAGAGUGGGGGAUAACUAGUCGAAAGACUAGCUAAUACCGCAUACGAUCUACGGAUGAAAGUGGGGGAUCGCAAGACCUCAUGCUCCUGGAGCGGCCGAUAUCUGAUUAGCUAGUUGGUGGGGUAAAAGCUCACCAAGGCGACGAUCAGUAGCUGGUCUGAGAGGACGACCAGCCACACUGGGACUGAGACACGGCCCAGACUCCUACGGGAGGCAGCAGUGGGGAACUUUGGACAAUGGGGGCAACCCUGAUCCAGCAAUGCCGCGUGAGUGAAGAAGGCCUUCGGGUUGUAAAGCUCUUUUGUCAGGGAAGAAACGGUUCUGGAUAAUACCUGGGACUAAUGACGGUACCUGAAGAAUAAGCACCGGCUAACUACGUGCCAGCCGCCGCAGUAA